UCCUACGGGAGGCAGCAGUAGGGAAUCUUCCGCAAUGGACGAAAGUCUGACGGAGCAACGCCGCGUGAACGAUGAAGGCCUUCGGGUCGUAAAGUUCUGUUGUUAGGGAAGAACAAGUACCAGAGUAACUGCUGGUACCUUGACGGUACCUAACCAGAAAGCCACGGCUAACUACGUGCCAGCAGCCGCGGUAAUACGUAGGUGGCAAGCGUUGUCCGGAAUUAUUGGGCGUAAAGCGCGCGCAGGUGGUUUCUUAAGUCUGAUGUGAAAGCCCACGGCUCAACCGUGGAGGGUCAUUGGAAACUGGGGAACUUGAGUGCAGAAGAGGAAAGUGGAAUUCCAAGUGUAGCGGUGAAAUGCGUAGAGAUUUGGAGGAACACCAGUGGCGAAGGCGACUUUCUGGUCUGUAACUGACACUGAGGCGCGAAAGCGUGGGGAGCGAACAGGAUUAGAUACCCUGGUAGUCCACGCCGUAAACGAUGAGUGCUAAGUGUUAGAGGGUUUCCGCCCUUUAGUGCUGCAGCAAACGCAU
rnacentral:rRNA from 1 species